GGCCCCGCGGGGCAGGAGCGCGGCGGGCGGGCUCCCUGUGCACCUGCGGAAGACCCGGGGCUCCCACCAGGGACGCCGUGAAAAAGGCGCAAACGGACCUUGGUCUUACUGCCGGGGAAAGCCUCCCGCCUCCUCUUCUGGACGGACAAACACAGUGGUACACAGCUCCUUUUUUCAGUGGGGUGGAGUUUCCUGAAUGCAGAAGCCGAUGUAAAAAACCAGCUGUCUUACUCUGAGACAUUCCAUCAUUGCUUUGAAAUGAAGGGACGAAUGCCGUUUGAACCUUUCUGCUCCUGAGUGGAAACUCAGAGACAGAGCGCCUUCAGGAAUAUGGAAAAGCUCCUCGGAGUGAAGUGUGCACGCACAGGACCUCCAACUCCUAAUUGUCUGUGACAAGGCUGAUGUAGAGUAUUUGGAAAAUAUGCGAUUGUGGAAGGAAGAAAAAUUUACCCCAAGAUGAACAGAAGAAAAUCACGUUUUUGUCUGUGUAAUGUUUCUUUUGCUUAAUAAACAUAUUUGUGUAUACACA